GUGUCAGCCGCCGCGGUAAUACGGAGGGUGCGAGCGUUGUCCGGAAUCACUGGGCGUAAAGGGCGCGUAGGCGGUGGGGUAAGCGUGUGGUGAAAGUCCGGGGCUCAACCCCGGAUCGGCCGUGCGAACUGCUUCACUUGAGCACUGUAGAGGCAGGUGGAAUUCCGGGUGUAGCGGUGGAAUGCGUAGAGAUCCGGAAGAACACCAGUGGCGAAGGCGGCCUGCUGGGCAGUGGCUGACGCUGAGGCGCGACAGCGUGGGGAGCAAACAGGAUUAGAUACCCCGGUAGUCC
rnacentral:rRNA from 1 species